rnacentral:lncRNA from 1 species
AUAUAUAGGCCUAUUUAUUUUUAUCUACCUCAGGGAAAAGAAAUAGACAAAAUUUUGAUAUUUAAAUAAUAUUUUUUUGGCAGCUUAAACAACAAUUUCAACUAUUAGAAAAUAUGUCAACUGUGAAACACCAUCUUUUCUUGUCUUUUUUUUUUUUUUUUUUACAUAUCGGGCCCCUAAUUACAUUGAAAACACCUGGCCGCAGUUUUAAAUGUAGAAAACCCUGUUGAAAUAACGUAGGAGCUUAAAGAUGUCGGCAGCUGUAGAUUCUGAUAAAGUUUUGUCCGAGGAUGGAGACACUCAGGCACCCGAAAAGAGCGACUAUCCGUUCCAAGAGGUUCGCAAAACUUUGAAAUCUGGCUAUAAAUGCUGUUUUAAGGCCAAACUGUUUUAUUUAUAUAUAUAUAUAUAUAUAUAUAUAUAUAUAUAUAUUUAUGUGCAGACUAUAAAGAACCUUGAUGACAGGCUGGCCAUUCUUUCCGAAAACAUAAGCCUUUGCUCGUCGGCUCUGAGUGACCUGCACGACCUCUACGAUGUUUUAGCGAAAAAACGUCUUCAGCAAGGAUCCGAGGACCCCCACACUCCUAAACAUGAACUUGAAUAA